CAUCUUUAAUAUACACCGUGGCACUAUCUCUUCUUGAGCAUGCAAGGACUUUGAUGAAUGCACUCCAGCCACCACAGUUUUUUCAUACCAGGUAUCUAUUGAUUCCCAUAAUAUCAACUUUCACCACUGGCACCACUUGUUAGAAUUCCUCUGCUUGGUUUUAAAAGCCGUCUGUGCUGCUCAGCUCUUUCCCAGCAGCUCUUUUCAGGAUUCUCUGUGGAUUCUUUGAUCAAUCCCACCUGCCCAGCUCAGGAAGGACGUGUCCCAGUUCCUGCAGCUCCCCAGUGAGGUACAGCAGAGCUGCCCCACAGCUCUCCCUUGGUCCUGAGCACGGAGAAUCGAGUGGGCAGCUGGCCCUGAGCAGGAUGAUGUCCAGUGCAGAGAAACCAGCCAGCUCUUUCUGUCAGAGGAAAGGAAUGGUUUGACCUUGACCUGGUUCAGAGAUGAUCACAGAGCAGAUUAAAGGGCCUGAGAGCUGUGUCCAGCCAUGCUGCAGCUGUGUGUGAGUGACCAUGGCUCCAUGGUGACCAGCUCAUGUGAGUGACCAUGGUGAGCAGCUCAGGUGAGUGACCACACUGCCAUGGUGACCAGUUCACAUGGGUGACCACACUGCCAUGGUGACCAGUUCACGUGGGUGACCACACUGCCAUGGUGAGCAGCUCAUGUGGGUGACCAUAGUGACCAGCUCAUGUGAGUGACCACACUGCCAUGGUGACCAGCUCAUGUGAGUGACCAUGGUGACCAGCUCGUGUGAGUGACCAUGGUGACCAGCUCAUGUUAUCUGCUGUUUAUUCCUCUGUGAAGCUGGCAGGUCUGAAUAAUCAGCUUUUAAAGUUUUUGACACAGUAAAGGUGCACAGAGUGCAGGCUCCUUCUGCAGAAAAUCCCAGCAAGCUGGCAGUGGAUAAAGUCUGAGCUUCUGUUAUUUUUGCCAAGUUACUUUCCAUAGUGGCAGACUACAGUCCAAGGUGAGCAGAUAUUCAUGAAGGCUUUUAAAAUGCUGUCUGAAAUCAGGUCCCUGCUCUGUCAAUCUGCUGACCUGGAAUUGAAAGGCUUUUGUGACAUUUUUAAGUCCCUCAGUCCCAGAAUCUGCUGAGAAAUCCCUGGUAGCAAGGGCAGUCUGAGUGAAACACAGUUUCAUUAGCAAAUACAUUUCUGUUCCCUUUGAGAACUGCAUAUCCAGCUGCAAUUUGCCAUUUCAGUUUACAGGGCUGGUAUAUCACUGUUAGCUCAUGCAUUGGGAAGCAACCUGCAGCAAAAACAAAGCCACUGGACAUAUUUACCUACCAAUAAAACCCCCUUCCCCCUGGAAUAUUUCCAGCUGACCUUUCUGGUCUCGUUAACUGGAGAAGGGGAUGUUACUGAGAUUGUUUUAGAUGCAAUCAUUGCUUGAACAUGACAUUUAGGGCUCCUGUAAAGGUGAGACACAGCAAGGCACCUUUUCCCCAUCACUGCCUCACAUUUCUUCCCAUGCUCCUUUAUCCUCAGCUGUCCCUGAACACAUCUCCUACCCAAGAACCUCUCCAGAGGUUGCAGCAGAUUUUCAGGCUGUGGGAAGUUUGAGCUGUUAAGAAGACAAGCACAGCACUAAUAAAAUCUAAACACUUAUAGUCAAAUCUUAUUCCUGAUGCUGCUAAAUGGGAACUUACAGCUUAACAUAAUAGGCAAUUUAGCAUACAAAUGUGCCCCAUAAAAGCAAGGAUGUUGGCAGUGCAAAGCCAUAAAUGUUAACCUUUGGGCAAGCUGUUACAAAUGUGCCACAGGCUCUUGCAAUUUUAAUGAACUUGUUUGCACACACGAGGUUUAUAUUGUGCCAAACAUGGGGAUGCACACAUCGAGGAACACCUCCAAAAAUUCCCCUGUUUGGGAGUUCAGCAUCUCCCACUCAUCUGCCUUCAGAGGUUUGCAGCAGCAGGUAAGGAAAAUGGCCUUUUUGCCUUCAGAAAUGUGAUGGAAAAACAAUGCAUAACUCUCCUGACAGUGUUAGAGAAUAUAGGAAAUAUUUUAUAAGGACAAGUGUUUGCACUCAAGCCUUAUAUUCUGGACAAGCACAGAUGAUAAUGAAUGUGAUUUUCCCGAGUUGUGGUUUCAUUAUUUUUUGGUAAGUUCCUAGAAAGGCACAGGUUGUUGAAAAUGUGAGAAAUCCAUAGCAAUUCCAACCCCAAAUCAGGGCUAAUAGUUAUCUUAUGGACUAGUAGGCACCUGUGACCUUUCCUUGUAAGCAAUUUGGGUUUGAUGAAUCAAUGUCUAAGCAUCCUCACAAUCAAAUAAUCCUGCAGAGCAACCAAAUUAAGUUGCUCCAUUUCAGGGAAGCACUUGGAAAAAACCCACACACUUUCAAGCAGCUUUGUUAGUCCUGAGCACUCACAAUCAGCCUUGGUGCUGGGCAUGUUUUCAGUCCAAGUCUCUCACGUUUUUUUGGCAUUGGAAGGCCUCUUCAUUCCAAAGCAGAAUUAUUCAGACCUGCUCUUUCAAGCAAAAUGUGUGAAAGAUGAAUCAUUAAAAAAAAAAAUAAAAAGAGAUGAUGCCUCAGUCUUAUCUGACUCCGCUGCCAAAUUUUCUUCACCUUGUG